rnacentral:rRNA from 1 species
CUUCGGCCUUAGUGGCGCACGGGUGCGUAACGCGUGGGAAUCUGCCCUUGGGUUCGGAAUAACAGUUAGAAAUGACUGCUAAUACCGGAUGAUGUCGUAAGACCAAAGAUUUAUCGCCCAAGGAUGAGCCCGCGUAGGAUUAGCUAGUUGGUGGGGUAAAGGCCCACCAAGGCGACGAUCCUUAGCUGGUCUGAGAGGAUGAUCAGCCACACUGGGACUGAGACACGGCCCAGACUCCUACGGGAGGCAGCAGUGGGGAGUAUUGGACAAUGGGCGAAAGCCUGAUCCAGCAAUGCCGCGUGAGUGAUGAAGGCCUUAGGGUUGUAAAGCUCUUUUACCCGGGAUGAUAAUGACAGUACCGGGAGAAUAAGCUCCGGCUAACUUCGUGCCAGCAGCCGCGGUAAUACGAGGGGAGCUAGCGUUAUUCGGAAUUACUGGGCGUAAAGCGCACGUAGGCGGCUUUGUAAGUUAGAGGUGAAAGCCCAGAGCUCAACUCUGGAAUUGCCUUUAAGACUGCAUCGCUUGAAUCCAGGAGAGGUGAGUGGAAUUCCGAGUGUAGAGGUGAAAUUCGUAGAUAUUCGGAAGAACACCAGUGGCGAAGGCGGCUCACUGGACUGGUAUUGACG